AACAUGUGUGAUGUGUCACCGCAAAG
rnacentral:misc_RNA from 1 species